GACGAGGGAUCCUAGCGUUGUUCGGAAUCAUUGGGCGUAAAGCGGGUGUAGGUGGCUUUGUAAGUCAGGUGUGAAAUCCCAGGGCUCAACCCUGGACGUGCAUUUGAUACUGCGAAGCUUGAGUGUAGGAGAGGAUAGUAGAAUUCUUGGUGUAGUGGUGAAAUACGUAGAUAUCAAGAGGAAUACCGGAGGCGAAGGCGGCUAUCUGGCCUAACACUGACACUCAGACCCGAAAGCGUGGGGAUCAAACAGG
rnacentral:rRNA from 1 species